CUCACAAGAGGUAUCGGGAAAGUUUUUCGCUAUAGGAUGAGGCUGCGGCCUAUCAGCUAGUUGGGGAGGUAACGGCUCACCAAGGCUAUGACGGGUAGCUGGUCUGAGAGGAUGAUCAGCCACACUGGAACUGAGACACGGUCCAGACUCCUACGGGAGGCAGCAGUGGGGAAUUUUACACAAUGGGCGAAAGCCUGAUGUAGCAACGCCGCGUGGAGGAUGACGGAUUUAGGUCUGUAAACUCCUUUUAUAGGGGAAGAAAUUUGACGGUACCCUAUGAAUAAGCGCCGGCUAACUCCGUGCCAGCAGCCGCGGUAAUACGGGGGGCGCAAGCGUUACUCGGAAUCACUGGGCGUAAAAGGGAGCGUAGGCGUUCUAUUAAGUCUCGAGUGAAAUCCCGCAGCCUAACUGCGGAACUGCUCGGGAAACUGAUAGAAUAGAGUAUGGAAGAGGUAGGUGGAAUUUCCAGUGUAGGGGUAAAAUCCGUAGAUAUUGGAAGGAAUACCAGAAGCGAA
rnacentral:rRNA from 1 species